GAUGAAGAACGUAGUGAAAUGCGAUACUUGGUGUGAAUUGCAGAAUCCCGUGAACCAUCGAGUCUUUGAACGCAAGUUGCGCCCGAAGCCAUUAGGCCGAGGGCACGCCUGCCUGGGCGUCACACGUCGUUGCCCCCCCAUCUACUCCUUCGGGAUUGCAGGGGGCGGAUGAUGGCCUCCCGUGCGCCUCGUCGCGCGGUUGGCAUAAAUACCAAGUCCUCGGCGACGCACGCCACGACAAUCGGUGGUUGCGAAACCUCGGUUGCCCGUCGUGUGCGGUCGUCGCGCAUCGAGGGCUCGAAAAAAUUGCCGGGCUCCGGCUCGGCUUUCAACGCGACCCCAGGUCAGGCGGGGUUACCCGCUGAAUUUAAGCAUAUCAAUAAGCGGAGGA
rnacentral:misc_RNA from 1 species